GACGAACGCUGGCGGCGUGCCUAAUACAUGCAAGUCGAGCGGACGGACGCGCAGUUGGCUGCUCUUAUGUUGGCGGACGACGGGUGAGUAACACGUGGAUCACCUACCUAUAAGACUGGGAUAACUUCGGAAAGCCGGUGCUAAUCCCGAAUAAUUUUUUCUACCUCGUGGUGCAAAGGAAGAAGCCGGUCUUGCUGUUACACAUAGGUCGUUCCGCGCUGUUUUAGCUAGUUGGUAAGGUAACGGCUUACCAAGGGACCGAUGCAUAGCCGACGUGAGAGGGGGAUCGGCCACACUGGAACUGAGACACGGUCCUGACUCCUACGGGAGGCAGCAGUAUGGAAUCUUCCGCAAUGGUCGAAAGCCUGACGGAGCAACGCCGCGUGAGUGAUGAAGGUCUUCGGUUCGUAAAACUCUGUUAUUAGUGAAGAACAUAUGUGUAAGUAACUGUGCACAGCGUGACGGUACCUAAUCAGAAAGCCACGGCUAACUACGUG
rnacentral:rRNA from 1 species